rnacentral:misc_RNA from 1 species
GGUGAAUGACUUUGUAGUAAACCAAUAAGCAGAUAGGUUUUCAACAUUGCGCUUACCCAAGAACAUAAGCACAUAAGCCCUGCUCCACAGGACUAGUCAAUGGCAGCAAUUAUAUUUGAAUCAAUAACAUGAAAGGCAUUUGUCAUCCAAUCAUCCCAUCACAUCUUGAUGGCCUCAUACCUUUCACCAAUUGCUCCUCCUUUCUGUUUCUGGAACUGGAUGUACCGCAGUGUGCUGGCAAAGAAAGCAUCAGCAGCAGGGUCUGGUGUACUAGAGUCACUUUGCAUCUCAGUGUUAAUCAAUUCAAUCAGGCUCUGUAUUGCAGCAGCAGUUACCUGUGGGUUCCCCUUCUCGAAGAAAUAGAGAUACUUGCUCAGAAUCUCAACAAAGAGUGUGACUGAUCCAGUGCUACCUCGUGUUGCAUUGGACAUUUGUUGAGCAGCAUUUGCAAUUCUUAGAGCACGCUUUAGGCAAAU